CUGAAGCAGCACUAGAGGCCGAACAUGGAUCUGAUCGAUCAGUAAAGAGAGCAGCGCCUGCUCUUAGAAUCAUACGAAGAACUGAAAGAUUGAAUUAACGUUACACUGCUGCAGUAAAUAAAAUAAGAGAGAAAGGCUGGCAAAUAAUUGAUGAUCGACUGAAUGCUAAGUGAAAUGCAAUUAACUUCAGUGGGGAGAAAAGAACAUGGCAGCAGGUGAAAAUUAAAUAUAAAAAUAUUAUUCAGAAUGCUGCAAAAAGGAAGAGUGAUGUAGCGAGAU